AAAGCAGGCAUCGAUCCCUGGAGCAAAUUAUUCGUCAGAUUGACAACCUUAAGGCUAGGAAGCUUCACCAGGGACUCAGGGACAACGCCAGUCAACUGGUUAUCCCUCACGCUGAAAUCCCACAGAUUCUUAAAAUUCGAAACGUCGGGUAUAGAACCCGUGAACUGGUUACUGUGCAACCAAACCUGUGCCAACUGGGUCAUGUUCGCUAUGACGUCUAUCGUCCCGUUGAGCUGCGAAUUCCCGGCCUUCCCAUUCAGCCAGAGGAUCUGAAUCGUCAACGUGGCGAAGCUUGCGGGCAGCCCACCUUCCAGGUUAUUGAAGGCCAACUGAAGCGCGAACAGGCUGGGGAAAUUCUCCGCAUUGAUGAAAUUGGGGAUUUGCCCGAUCACGUUCGCUUGGGUCGCGGUGAAAUUCUGAAGGGCGUUGCAAUCUUUCAGGCUAGCGGGAAUCUCCCAAGCAGCGAAGCUGUUAUAGCUUAAGUCAACCGCUUGCAGAGACGACAUACCAGUGAAGAAGUCCGCAGGAAUGGAGGUGAAAUUGUUGCGGUUUAGAAGCAACACCUGUUCCAAGAAGGGGGCCAAGAAAGCAAGAAUCACUCGCUCAUUCCCCCGAAAAUCAUCCAGAAAAAAAAAAAAAAAACAGAAAAGAGACCCACAGACUCGGUACCUGCAACUGAGCCAACCCGGCGAAACUCGGGAGGGGGCCGGAGAACUGGCUGUUCAUGACCUCAAACCGCGUCAGCUCAGUGAGGUUGCUGAUGUCCGGAGGGAGGGUCCCGGACACGCCCCGCAUACCUAUCUGGAUCCGGGUGACCCGAUUGCCGGUGCACGAAACCUGGGGCCACUUGCACGGGUCGGCGUCGGACCAGUCGAGGGAGGAAGGGAGCGUCACGCUCUUCUUGAGGGCUUGCAUUGCGUUGACGUCGCUCUGCACGGUCUGAGCAGAGGCAGCGAGGCACAGGAGGAGGAGCAGCAGCAGCAGAGGGAGGAGGAGGGCCAGGAGGGGGAGGUCCCGGCGGCGACGACCCAUCGUCGGGCGUCGUCUCCGCCGCCGAGGAGCGACGGCGGGGAACGGCGGCGGGCCCUCGACGGAGGCGGCCUUGCUGGGGCUCACGCGCGGCGUUCGGCGGAGGGGAAAGGCGCUGCGUUUCGCAGUUCGACCAUGGGAAACGGAAACUGCACGCGGAGCGAGAUGGAGAGAGAGAAGGGUGCGGUACUGUUGCUUUGAUAGAGAGAGAAAGCGAGAGGAAGCGGCGCAGAUUGAGGAUGAAGAAAAUCAAGGGAGGAAUAGAGACAGAGAGAGAGAGAAAAAGAGAGGGGAAAAUGCUUUUUAAGGAAGCGUGGGAUUACGAAGGAAAGUGCCAUGAAGAAAAAGGGAAAAUCUUCUUUCUUUCCCUUUUUUUUACUGCCAGAAAAAGAAAGGGAAUACACAUCGAACGACGAGGACCAGGAAAGACUCUCUUAUUACACCCGUACAGCUGCUUUCGUAUCGAAUACAAUCGCUUUCGGACAGCAUCUCAGGACAAACCUCGCUGUAGCAAAAAUGAAUUUAUUUUCGCCGUCCUAGUUGAAAGGACAAAAUUCGCUAAAAAUCUUAAAUUAUAUUUAUCAUAGAAUAUUUACCUCAAAUUUUUGGUGACAUCAAAAAUCCUAAAUAUUAUUCUAAAAUUAUGUAGUAUGACAUGUUUAUCCCAAACUUAUUCUCAGACACCAAAAUAGUUUGGAUUUUUUGUGUCAUAAGAAGAAAUUUAGGGUAAAUAUGAGAUUUUUGAUGUUAGAAGAAAAAAAUUGAAAUAAAUUUUGCAUUAUAGGGGUAUAAGUUUGAGUUUUUAGGUGUCACAAAAAAUAAUUAAGGGCAUAUGUGUCUUAGUGGGCAAAAAUUUAUGGUUUUUUCAUGGCUUUGCCCCUAAUUGAAAUUAGACAUAAAACCAAAAUUCUUUUCUCAUAUUAACCUCCAAUAAAAAAGGACCUACUGAUUUUUUUAAUUGAAAUUAGACAUAAAACCAAAAUUAUUUUCUUAUAUUAACCUCCAAUAAAAGGCACCUACAUUAUUUCUUGCGCCGAUAACCCAAUAUUUAUUUCCCCGCGUUGUCUCUUUUUUUCCUCAAAAAGGAUAGAAAUCGACUGUGCUCCUGUCGUAUGGAAGGGGAUGAAACGCAACAGCUGGCACAUGCGCGUGGGGCCCGCUGGGAAUUGAAAAUCAAGAAAGAAGAAAUUUUGGGUGGCGUUUAGUGACAGCAUUAGGUAUGACCUGGGAGCAAAGUGGUCGACACGUAAGGUGAAGGACCCCCUUUAUAAUAAAAGGAGUGAUAAUUUAGUGGUAUCCCGGGAGCAGAUUACGGCCUUACUCUUUAUGACUAAUAUAAUUUAGAUUUGACUAAUCGAGUGAUACGGAGCAUGAUGGCCCGAUUGCAUCGUUAAUGAUGCUCUGACUCAGGAAAAAAAUCACAUGCGACCUCGCCUAAGACAGAAACCAAGUUAUUACGUAGCUGAAUUUACUUUAAAAGCUCGCAUGUUACGCAUGGACGUUAUAAUUUACAAGUCGAGAAGUUAAGUGUGAAAAUUUACUUUUAUUACGUGAAGUAUUGUAUCGUGGGAUAUGAUAAAUAAAUUAUCGAUAAAAGCACAUAAUUCAACGGGAUGGAAAUAUGUCCGAGAUCGAAAAUUUUGUGACUGUGAAGUAGUUGUAAGAUAGAAAAAUGCUUCGAAUUUCGCCGUUAAAAAAUGCAGGAGGAUAAGGUAGAAAAAUUAAUUUAAUGCAUGUGUCAAUGCAUGACGUGUCUGUAAAAAAUAUUAAUUGCGGUAUGAAAGACCAUAUCCCAAAAGACAAAAGGGAAAUCGACGCAAUGGUGGUGGUGUGUCGCUGAACUCGAAAUUGACUUCUUCUUCUUCUCCUCCUCCUUUCAAGAACCAUUCUUUUUUACCGAUAUUUUUUUUCCAGAUUUGUUUAGAACUCGGCACCAGAUAAAAUAAAAUAUCAGCAAAAAAACAUAAUGAUAGUUUCUGGAAUAGAAGAGUCUGGGGAGGCGCGGAAGAAAUCCAAGAUCUGGUUGUCCUUUUCUGUCAUUUGGACAUUAAAAAAACUCGUCGCCCGGGGACAUUCUCGAGCCACGUGGCGACGCGGACGCGCCUCCCCGAACGUAGAAACCGUCCAAGGUUAAUCUAAUCGAAACUUCCCCCUCUCCCUCCCCUGAAUCCGGAGCCUAAUUGCCGUCGUCACCACCUGUGUUGACGAAUUUGCCCCUCCUGGACCGGCGAAAUUAUUCAUCACGGGCGGGAUGGAGGAGUUAAUGGCGUGUCUGCCGUCUGGUAUGUCUGUCAAUCCCCGAAGAAAAAAAAGUCUCUGACAGCCGCAUUCAAAUCCUGACACACUUCUCUUCUUCUUCGUCUUAUUUUUUUUUCGUCUUUUUUUUUUUUGUCUGAACCGAACCGAACUGCACCGCAUGUCAUUACUUUGCUGCUCUAAUCGAAAUUAAGAGGAGUGGUGGGCCCCACACGUGACUUCGAUUCCUAGACAUAAAUAUGAUUAGUUAGUUGGGCGAGCGGAGGUCGAGCCCGGAGCCUAUCAUUCUUGCGGAAUUUGGCCGGCCUUGGCUACUUUAAUCGGGUCCACAGAAAGAUGGAACUUUCUUAGGAAGGAGCCCCUCCUUGUGGAAUAGGGGUUUGUGUUAUUAGAGCAUGUGGCAAAAAAAUAUAUGUGCAUAAGUUGCUCUCAUGUUUAACCUACACAAUGCCAUAAUUGAAUUGAUCUUAUGUCGUCGGCGACGCGAUAAAAUUUCGCGUUUGAAUACGUGAAGUUAUGGCAAAAAGAAUAUGUCAGAUUAUUCGAUUCAUGAAUAUAAAAAAAAAAUGACUCGAUUUUAAAAGUGUAACUUAAUUCAGUUUUAGACUUUCGAGGUCAUGACAUGCUGUUUUAAGAAUUGAUUAAACGGGAAAAGAUGCAUUUCGUGUGUGGUGCGCGAUGUUGAUCUUUCUAUUUUCUUAUUUUGCAUUAACCCAUGUCUUGUUUGUAACAGCACGUCACUUGUUCAUUUAAUUGUUGUUGUAAGGAAUAUAUUCAAUUGUUUUGAUACGACACGAUAUAAAUUGAGACAUUGAAAUAAGAUGGGGACACGAAAGACUCGGGGAAUGAGACCCGGGCAGCUAACACACGCUCAACUAAACAAUUAACUCAAUUUGGGUAUUUCGUAUGUUGUCCAUUUGUUGUACCAACACCCCCCCUUCCCCCCUUCCGGUCCCAACAAAAAAACGGUGCUUUUACGGACAAUAUGUCCCACACUUCUUUAACCGCGACGAGGAAUAAAGCACUGUUUAGCCACUUCUUUUGAAACUAAGAGGUGAUCGAUGGGUGGGCCUAGACCAGUCACUUAGGUCGGGCCUCAAGUGUUGUCCAGGCCUCCUCCUCAUAAAAGUUUAUAUCAUGGUGCCAUUUUGGACCAAUAUGGCUCUACCGGGCCCAUGGGCUGUCAAGCCCAUAAUUAUGUCCAUUUGAAACUUGAUUACAUUUAUAUUAAUGAACAAAUCGCAUUGUGUGAUCCACGCAACUCUAUUCGGUGCAUCUUCAUUUGGCAUGAGAAUUUCCCAUCCGUAGAUCCUAAUUUAGUGUCAGCAUUAAGUGCCAUAGUGAUAGCUCCGUUUCAACCUAAAUAGUUCCCUCGAUUAAUCAAUAGUUGAGAGAUUAAACCUGAACCUGGUUUAUUCAUGGAAGAAUGCAGAAUGGCUUAUCCGUAUCUAUUAUGGUCAGGCCACGUAAAGUCCAAGUACUUGAUUGAUUAUUUGCCCAUCGGAUUGAUAGGAAGCCAUGGAGGAUCAACGGGAGACAAUAAAAUGAGAUUUUAUAUGAUGAGAUGACAUGCCCUAAUGCUCCGGUGCCACAACAAUUUUGAGACGAGGUCAAAAUAUCAAUGCGAAAGCUUAGCUGAUGAUUAGUCUCUUAUAUAUACUAGAGCUGUUAAAUAGGUGGGUCGGGUCGAAUUUGGGUUAGGUCAUUAAUGGGUCGAUCCAAAUGGACUCAUUAACCAAUUUAUGACCCAUUUAUAUAUAAUGUAAAUUUUUCGACCUAUACCCGACCCGACUUGACCCAUAUUAAUAAAAUAUUUUCAUAUUUAACCAAAUUUAGGAAAAAUUAUUCUUAUGUUUUUUUAAAAAAAUUAUAUUAUUAGAAAACUUCCAAGCAAUACAAAUCCAAUCAAUAAUUUUUCAAAAAAAAUUAUUUCUUAUAUAUAUAUAUAUAUUUAAAAACUAAAAUAGUUUUAUACAUUGGACAAUUUUUAAAAUAAUUAUUUUAAAAAUUGAAUUUUAAUUAUUUUUAUUUUUUUAAAAAAUCGAAUUUUAAUUAUUUUUUAUUUUUAAAUAAUUUUUUUUUCUUUUUUCUUUUUUGUUCUUCUUCUUUGGCCAGCCGGGGGCCACGAUGACGGCCAAUGGCCGACCACAGGUGAGCCUCAAGCUCACCUGGGUCGCCGACGCCGGUGACCUCAUAGCUCGCCAAAUUCGGCGAGCUCGAGCUCACUCGAUGCUGGCGAGGCUUGAGCCUCGCUGGAUGUUGGCGAGGCUCGAGCCUCGCCGGGCAUCGGUGAGGCCUUCGCCUCGCCAGAUCUGGCGAGCUCGAGCUUGCCCGACGCCGGCAAACUCGAGGCUCGCUUGGCUGGUCGCCGGUCAUCGCCGUGCCAGCGAGCGGAGGAAGAAAAAAGAAAAAAAAGGAAAGAAAAAAGAAAAAAGAAAAAAAUUAUAAUUUCGGUUAUUAUAAAAAAAAUUGUAAAGUUAAAGAAAGGAGAGGUUUUGAAAAUAAAUUGGUUGAUAAAUGGGUUUUAAAUAGGUCAGAUAUCUUAGUAUUGACUCAUUAAAACUCAUUAUGGGUGCUUUAUGAAAUAAUGCUUGACCCAUUAACGACCCAUUUAAUUAUAAAUGGGUGCAACCCAUUUAACACCUCUAAUAUAUACACAUUAACCAAUACAAGCAAAAAAUAACCUCCCGAUUUCAAAUAAAAAUACAGCAUUAUUUAAAAUAAAAGUAAGGAUUUCAAAUAUGUCACGUCGAUUGCAAAUCAUUUGUUUUGUCGAAAUCAAUUCUUAAAAGAUUUAAUUUUAUUCCUUGCACGAGAACGCUUACAAAUUUUAUAGAUAGGUAGAAUCAAAAUCUCUAGCUCCUCCAUUUAUUCGCCAUGUUAGAAUAUGUCGACCGGCCAGUCUUUGUUGCUGGGUGUUCAUCGUCUUCAUAGAGCUUCAUGAAAGCCUGCGUGAACAAUCGAAGGACCAUUACUCAACGUAUUAUCGGAUCUAGCAAAAUCAAAACCGUUCUCGAUUGUUAAGAGCUUUCGUCUCGCAUGUACCGAUCGUAGGUCACUUUUACUAUGCCGGCCACAGAGUCCGCAAUGGUCUCGAAAGCUUCCUUCGAGAGGUCGAUGGUGCCGGCACACCUGCCUGGGCAAUGGUCGACUAUCCUCACCUCAACCGACCUGCCCGUACACGGGUCUUGAAUGCCCGAGUAGGCGGCGCCAAUGCACGUCACCCUGUACGUGCUUCCACAGGCUGCCCCACCAGCCGAGAACGCGUGGCUCGCCGCAGCUAUCAUCAUGCCCUGAGGCUGGCUUCCAUAGCAUGCCGAAGCUGCGCGACCGAGGAAUUCGACGAUACAAUCGAUUAGCGGAAAAAUCAAAGGAUCACCCCGCUCAACUCUACUACAGAAACAUCUUCGCAUGAUGCACCGGAGAAACUUACGAACGUAUUGCUGGUAGAAUGUUGCCGUGCCUGAAUCAGCUAGAGUUGCCAAUGGAAUGGAGGAAAGCGCAAGAGCAAAUGAGGUUAGGACAAAGACAUGGUGAUUAGCUGCCAUCGUUGUUCUGAUUUCCUCGCUAACCUCUCGUCUGCGAAAUACAGAAAUUCACCAGAGUUCCAAGCCGCAUCAACAUUUAGUUUCAAGUACGGCUUCGUCAGGGGAACCCAUCGAGCAGGUGAGUCCCGGUGAUAUUGCUCUGAAAUUUUUUUCCCCUUGUUGCGACUAACCGAAUCGAGUUGUUUUUGUGUCGUGGUGCUCAGAUCUGCCGGGGGAAUCCAUCGAGCAGGUGAAUCCCAGUGAUGUGGCUCUGAAAUUGUUUUCCCCUUGCUGCGACUAACCGGAGCGAGUUGUUCAUGUGCCUUGGUGUUCAAAUCUACUGGCUUCGUUGGGGAAAUCCCUCUAAUAGAUGAGUCCCAGUGAUGUUGCUUUGAAAUUUUUUUCCCCUUACUGCGACUAACCGGAACGAAUUGCUCCUUUGCCGUGGUGAUUAGAUCUGCUGGUUGUGGGUUUAUUCCGCGGAAGAUCCAGUGGUUUCUCGCCCUCCAUAUGUUCCAAAGAAGCAGGGUCGUCAUUUCUCGAGCUAGUAAAGAGGUUUUACCUCGAAACGCUUCCGUGAGCCACAGAUUUGAGCGUUGAAUGUGUUUAGUUGGCCGAAUCUCUGCAUAUCUCGAAUCUUGCCAUCCAUUGACACAAGAAGAACAAAUGCUCUGUUGUUUCGAUGUUGUUGUGACAAAAUGGGUCUUGAACGAUCUUUCUUUGGUGCAGAUUUUCUCUGGUUGGGAGAGCAUUUUGACACAAGCUCCAGAGGAACGUUUGGAUUUUAGGAAAGACAUCAAGGCUCCAGAUUUUAUUCCACAAGGUGCGUGGCUGUUGGUAGGAACUAGAGGGUUUCUGGAGCUCUGUUUUAGUAGCUUGUUGAGUUGCAAUAUUGUAGCCACUUUUAACAGAGUACUGUCCCGUUUUGGUGCCUGUCCAGAGUAACAUAUCUGGCUGGGGUUGUUGACUCAGAGGAAUCGCUAAGAUUUCAUUUGCUAUGCUUGGUUCAUAAAGCUGUUGAAUUACCUGCUGCUUCCAUUCACGUGUUUCUGUGUUAAUUAGUUUUGACACCUAAAAGGGUUCUAUUUGGGAUGCUUGGUUUCUCUGCCAAUCAUGAGUCCCUGCCAUCCCCAAGAUGAUCUGCGGCCCUUAGCUGCUGUCCACACAUCGCCAUGAGGAAAAUAAAUUCCUUUAAGGAGGCGACUCCAGAGUGCUGUUGGGGAAGUGGCCAAUCUCCAGAGUUGCUUUUCAAGCAUAGCUCUGAAGGUAAGCAAAUCCUUUAAUCCCAGCCCACCAUUAUUUUUUCUAGUUUUUAAUAUUUCCCAUCGUUUCCAAUGCAAUCCCCUUUUGGCAUCUCCUUUUUGCCACCAAAAUGACGCUGUUGGUUUCUCUAUGGCUUUGUAGAUAGAAACAGGGAUCUUGAAUAUAGACAUCGCAUAGGUAGGAAUGGACUGCACUACGCUUUUUAUCAAGACCUCCUUUCCUGCCUUGGUAAGCAAUUUCUCUUUCCAGCCUUCUUAUUUAGAGUUCACUUUGGCUAGAAUCCAGCUAAACAAUUCUCGCUUAGAGUUGCCCACUCUGUAGGAAUACCCAAAUAUCUACCUGUUUUCUCCAAUACAUUUACUCUCAUCUCUGUGGCCAUAUUCAUUUUUAAAUGAUCUGGACACUGUGCACUGAAGUAGAUCCCUGAUUUAUUUAAAUUAAUGGCUUGCCCUGUAGCAUUUUCCUAGUUCACUGCAUCAAAUUGAAUGCCUUUCCUCGUUUUGUUGAUGCUAUUCGUCUUCCAAAUAUGUCAUGUAAAUCUUACUCCUGUUUUCGGCAUCAUGGAGAGGCUCAUAUUGCCAAAGUUCCCACAAUUUCCAGGAAUCGUUAUAUCUGUGUGCAUAUCGUCACAUUGAGAAUAAAAAGUGAUAGAAUGGAAUGAACAUUAGCAUAUAUAUCAAUGAAUAUGGCAAUAGAUCUUGUGAUUGUUCUCAUUAACUCAUUAUUCGGAGCAGAAGUUCUUGUUCUCCUCAAGGAUCUGUGUAACUGUUCAAAUGAAUCCAUUUCAAGGAAUCUAUGUCGAAACCUCGUCGCAAAGUAGUCAUGAUACGUUUUUUUUUUUUUUUUUUUUUUUUUCGGGUAUGGGUAGUCAUGAUAUGUCCUUGAAAAUAAAAUAAAAAAACAAUACUGAGAAUGUCCUUAUAGAACAUUAAGAACCGAAAAAAUAUCCUGUCGAAGUGGUUAUAAGAGGAAAAAAAAUACCUUAUAUGUUAAUGAACAUUGACCAUAAUAAGAGGGAUACUAGCAAUAAAUUUUUAAAUUUAUUAUACUUAUACUAUCUAAUCAUGAACCUUUCAAUUUGGCAAAUUUGAAAUUAACCAAUUUGACAAUUUACUAAUGUAGUCCAUCCGGUCACUUUUGAUUAGAAGUUGUUGACAUGGAGGCAAGCUAUUAUAUGUAGUAUGGCCGACGUUGACGAAGGACCCCCUCUCACCAAAUCCGGCCAGGCCAAUCAUCGUCGGGCCUCACUCGAAUGUGGGCGACGGCCACCCUCGCUGGAUUGGGCGAGGCUCAGCAAGGACCCUCGUCAACGAAUCCUAUGGACGAUAGCCAGCAACCAGCCAUUCCCUAAAAGAAAAGGGAAAAAACAAACAAAGAAAAGAAAUCCAAAAAAUUAUCAAAAAAUCGUAACAAUUGUCUAUAUCAAUACUAGCCAUUGACAUAAAAUGGCUAGCAUCAACAUCAAUGAUUUCUAAUUAAAAUUUAUUAGAUGGACUAUAGUGGUAAAUCAUCAAAGGUUAUGUUUGGUAGUCCAGAUUUUUAAUCAUGAUAGGAAUAUAUAAAAUAAGGUAUGAAAUUCAUGAAUUUUGUUACAUCCUAUCAACUAUUUGGUGAUUGCAAUAAUAAAGUCAAAUAUAUUCACAUAUGUCAUGUAAAUUGUUUGGUAUAAAAAGUAUAUUAGUAUAAAUGAACCAAAAAUUUUACAAACGGAAAUAGUAAAAUCUCUCACAACACUAUUUUAAUUUUCCUUAUUCUUUAAUUAAUUAAUUUUUUUCUUUCUAUCUUCCCCUUCCCCCAUUCUCUAAUAAAAUUUUAUUAUAUAGUAAACUGUACUAAUAUACCAAAAAAGCUACAAUACCUAAAAUAUCUAAAAAUAUAUUGAAAUUAAAUUAUAAAAUAGAAUUAAAUUCGAAUUAUAAAAUUAAAUUCAAAUAACUAUUUUUUUUGUUUUUUUGAAUUUAUUAUAUUAUAAUUCAAAUUUAUUUAAGUUGAAAAAUAAUAUUAAUUUUGCUAAUUUAAGAAAUUUUGUUAUUUGAGAAAAAUAACUUUCCUAUUUUAGAUAUUUUAAAUCAUAUCCACAUUUAUCAUAUCUCCUUAAUGGGAUAAUAUUAUUCAUUUUAUAUCCCCCUUAUAUGCAUUUUUCUUCUAUCUUGAGUAAGUAGUAAAUGCAAGAUACGUAUUCCGAAUUUUAUUCUGAUUGUCAAACGCAGCUAAAAGGUUUUAAGACUUAAUUGGGUAAAUGAAAAGUUUAUAAUUGAAUUUAUAUAAAUGUAAUAAGUUUAUGACUUUUUUUAGUAAUUUCGAUCCAUAAUAAGGUAUAUGCUGUCUAGCAACUUUUAUAGUUAUUUAUAUGGAGUUUUCCCUUUCAUUCAAUUGACGGUGGAAUUUGGAUUCUACUGGCGGUGGACGAUAUAAUAACCCCUAGGACAAAUAAUUAUUAAUUCCAAAAUGCUUCGUGGCAAGCCAUAGAGAAAGCAUGCGCCAUUUAUGGAUGGCCGUGCAACACAAAUUCCAAACUUAUGAAGCUAGCGACGUUGUUUUGUUCUCUUAUGUCAGUUUCUUUCCAUCAUUUCUUACCAUCUCUAGGCUGCUUGGAGACACGAGUUGAGUAGGGAAAUGGCAACACCCAAGGGGUACAGUAGGUUUUGGGGCCUCUCCUGUAUGUUAUCAUAGGGAAAAUACUCGCUCGGAAAGUUCACGACUUUAUUCAUCGACAUGGUCAUCAUCAGCUUCGCGAUGCUGAUUUCACACACGAUAAGCAAACAACAUUACAGAACCAUGCAACAUUAAUUCAAGCCAUUUAUUUAUCCAUCAUAAUCACCAACAAGCGGCCUCCACGUUGGUGUUAUCAGGUGCUAUUCAGAGAUCAGCUUCAUGAGAGCCUGCAUAAAGAAAGCCCAAGCACCAUCAGCACUUGGAGACGUACGCGAUUUAUGAUCGAAACCAAAGAGAAUAAUCGUCGAGAUCAUACCACGAAAGCUUCCUGUGAGAGGUCAAUGGUGCUGCAACACCCCGGGCAAUAGUCGACAAUGUCGGUGAUGCAGUAGACGCAAUGUCUUUACCUAGGUUAGGAUUACCAUCUUUAAUUAUAUUCACAUCGCUCCGAAAAGUAGGCACUUUACCGGAUAAAUUGUUGUAGGAAAUGUCCAGCCUUUUGAGAUUAGGAAGCUUCGCCAGGGACUCAGGGACAACGCCAGUCAACUGGUUAUCCCUCAAGCUGAAAUCCCACAGAUUCUUCAAAUUCAAAACGUCAGGUAUAGGACCCGUGAACUGGUUACUGUGCAACCAAACCUGUGCCAACUGGGUCAUGCUCGUUAUGACGU
rnacentral:lncRNA from 1 species